GAUGAACGCUGGCGGCGUGCCUAACACAUGCAAGUCGAGCGAUCAGACGCGGUGCUUGCUCCUCUGAUGUUAGCGGCGGACGGGUGAGUAACACGUGGAUCCCCUCCCUAUAAGAAUGGGAUCAAUUCGGUAACCCGGAGCUAAUACCGGCUACUAUAUUGAACCGCAUGGUUCAAUAGUGUACGCCGGUUUUGCUGUCACUUAUAGAUGGGUCCGCGCCGCAUUAGCUAGUUGGUCAGGUAACGGCUUACCAAGGCAACGAUGCGUAGCCGACCUGAGAGGGUGAUCGGCCACACUGGAACUGAGACACGGUCCAGACUCCUACGGGAGGCAGCAGUAGGGAAUCUUCCGCAAUGGGCGCAAGCCUGACGGAGCAACGCCGCGUGAGUGAUGAAGGUCUUCGGAUCGUAAAACUCUUUUAUUAGGGAAGAACAAAUGUGUAAGAAACUAUGCACGUCUUGACGGUACCGUAUCAGAAAGCCACGGCUAACUACGUG
rnacentral:rRNA from 1 species